GGCCCCGCACAAGCGGUGGAGUAUGUGGUUUAAUUCGAUGCAACGCGAAGAACCUUACCAGGGUUUGACAUCCUGCGAAUCUCUUGGAAACGAGAGAGUGCCUUCGGGAACGCAGUGACAGGUGGUGCAUGGCUGUCGUCAGCUCGUGUCGUGAGAUGUUGGGUUAAGUCCCGCAACGAGCGCAACCCACGUCUUUAGUUGCCAGCAUUUAGUUGGGCACUCUAGAGAGACUGCCGGUGAUAAACCGGAGGAAGGUGUGGAUGACGUCAAGUCAUCAUGCCCCUUACAUCCUGGGCUACACACGUACUACAAUGCUACGGACGGACGCUAAGCCGCGAGGUGGUGCU
rnacentral:rRNA from 1 species